rnacentral:misc_RNA from 1 species
UUUCCGUAGGUGAACCUGCGGAAGGAUCAUUAAAAAUGAAGCCGGUAAACCGGUCAUUCUAACCCUUGAUUAUCUUAAUUUGUUGCUUUGGUGGGCCGCGCAAGCACCGGCUUCGGCUGGAUCGUGCCCGCGAGAGGACACAACUCUGUAUUAAAUGUCGUCUGAGUACUAUAAAAUAGUUAAAACUUUCAACAACGGAUCUCUUGGUUCUG